UAUGGCCACACCACCCUAAAUGCGCCCGAUCUCGUCUGAUCUCGGAAGCUAAGCAGGGUCGGGCCUGGUUAGUACUUGGAUGGGAGGAAAUACAAAUAUAUGUUAAAU
rnacentral:rRNA from 1 species